UUAAUUAAUAAAAAUAAUUUUAAUAAUUUAUAUUUUUAGUAGAGUUUAUUGAAAAAAUUGAUUUAGUUAUAGUUUAAUUGUAUUGUAAAAGAAUAUUGAAAUAUAAUUUUAUUUAUUAAAAGUAUAAUUUAAUUUUAGUACCUUGUGUAUCAGGGUUUAUUAAAUAAAAAUUAUAAAUUUUAAUUUUCUCGAAUUUAAGAGAGCUAAUAAAUUAUUUUUUUUAUUGUGAAAAAAAUAUUUAUAAUAAUUUAUUGGUAAUGAAAUGUUAUUCGUUCUUAAAUAUAUCUAGUUUAUUUAGAAAUGAAUUUAAUUCAGAUAUUAUUAUUAUUUUAAUAAUUUAAUUUUUUAAGUUAUUAAAUUUUUUAAUAUUAAUAAUUAAAGGGAUUAGCUUUUAAUUAAAAAUUUAUAAAUUAAUAAUAUAUUUUUAAAAAAUGUAGGUUUAGAAAUAGUCAUCAAUAAUAAUUUGUUAUAAUUAAUUUAUUUAAGAAUAUUAUUUUAUAUAGUUUUAAGUUUUUUAUAAAUAAUUAAUUUUUAAUCUUAAAGAUUUAGAUAUAAUGAUAGAAUUAGUAUACAUUUAUUUAUUUAGAUAAUAUUUUUUAAAAGAUUAUUUUAAAGGAAUUCGGCAAAAAUUUUACUCGCCUGUUUAACAAAAACAUGUCCUUUUGGAUUUUUAUAUAAGGUCUAGCCUGCCCACUGAAUUUAUAUUUUAAAUGGCCGCAGUAUUUUGACUGUGCAAAGGUAGCAUAAUCAUUAGUUUUUUAAUUAAAAGCUUGUAUGAAAGGCUGGACGAGGUAAAAUCUGUCUCUAUUUAAAUUAUAAUAGAAUUUAACUUUUAAGUUAAAAGGCUUAAAUAUUAUUAAAAGACGAGAAGACCCUAUAGAUCUUUAUAAUUUAUUAAAUGAAGUUAAUUUAGAAUUAUUUAUGUUUCAUUUAAUAAGAUUAUUUUAUUGGGGUAAUAGAAAGAUUAAAUUAAUUCUUUUUUAUAGUAAACAUUUAUUUAUGAGUAUUAAUGAUCCAAUAUUAUUGAUUAUAAGAUUAAGUUACCUUAGGGAUAACAGCGUAAUUUUUUUAGAGAGUUCAUAUCGAUAAGAAAGUUUGCGACCUCGAUGUUGGAUUAAAGAUUAUUUUAGGUGUAGAAGCUUAAUAAUUUUGGUCUGUUCGACCAUUAAAUCUUUACAUGAUCUGAGUUCAGACCGGUGUAAGCCAGGUCGGUUUCUAUCUUUAAUAAAAUAAAAUAUUUUAGUACGAAAGGACCAAAUAUUUGAUAUAUUUAUAUUUUAUUUAUUGAAUAUU
rnacentral:rRNA from 1 species